rnacentral:rRNA from 1 species
CCUACGGGAGGCAGCAGUAGGGAAUAUUGGGCAAUGGCCGCAAGUGUGACCCAACCAUGCCGCGUGCAGGAAGAAGGCCUUCUGGGUUGUAAACUGCUUUUGGAAGGGAACAAAACGGUCGUGCGGGACAAUUUGAGUGUACCUUCAGAAUAAGCACCGGCUAACUCCGUGCCAGCAGCCGCGGUAAUACGGAGGGUGCAAGCGUUGUCCGGAUUUAUUGGGUUUAAAGGGUGCGUAGGCGGCUUAUUAAGUCAGGGGUGAAAGACUAUGGCUCAACAAUGGCAGUGCCUUUGAUACUGAUAGGCUUGAGUACAUUUGAGGCAGAUGGAACGGGUGGUGUAGCGGUGAAAUGCAUAGAUACCAUCCAGAACACCGAUUGCGAAGGCAGUCUUCUAAACUGUAACUGACGCUGAGGCACGAAAGCGUGGGGAUCGAACAGGAUUAGAUACCCUGGUAGUCCACGCCGUAAACGAUGAUGACUCGAUGUUAGGGAUAUACUGUCAGCGUCCAAGCGAAAGCGUUAAGUCAUUCACCUGGGAAAACCCCCCGGGGGA